rnacentral:rRNA from 1 species
UACAGAGGUGGCAAGCGUUGUUCGGAAUUACUGGGCGUAAAGGGCGCGUAGGCGGCAUGACAAGUCACUUGUGAAAUCUCUGGGCUUAACCCAGAACGGCCAAGUGAUACUGUCGCGCUAGAGUGCGGAAGGGGCAAUCGGAAUUCUCGGUGUAGCGGUGAAAUGCGUAGAUAUCGAGAGGAACACCUGAGGUGAAGACGGGUUGCUGGGCCGACACUGACGCUGAGUGCGCGAAAGCCAGGGGAGCAAACGGG